UACGUAGGGGGCAAGCGUUGUCCGGAAUCAUUGGGCGUAAAGCGCGCGUAGGCGGCCCGGUAAGUCCGCUGUGAAAGUCGGGGGCUCAACCCUCGAAUGCCGGUGGAUACUGUCGGGCUAGAGUGCGGAAGAGGCGAGUGGAAUUCCUGGUGUAGCGGUGAAAUGCGCAGAUAUCAGGAGGAACACCAAUUGCGAAGGCAGCUCGCUGGGACGGUACUGACGCUGAGACGCGAAAGCGUGGGGAGCGAACAGG
rnacentral:rRNA from 1 species